rnacentral:rRNA from 1 species
UACGUAGGGUGCAAGCGUUAAUCGGAAUUACUGGGCGUAAAGCGUGCGCAGGCGGUCUGUUAAGACCGAUGUGAAAUCCCCCGGGCUUAACCUGGGAACUGCAUUGGUGACUGGCUAGGCUUUGAGUGUGGCAGGAGGGGGGUAGAAUUCCACGUGUAGCAGUGAAAUGCGUAGAGAUGUGGAGGAACACCGAUGGCGAAGGCAGCCCCCUGGGUCAAGAUUGACGCUCAUGCACGAAAGCGUGGGGAGCAAACAGG